AGCGGGGAAAGCGGGCGUGACGUAGAGCAAGUGGCGGCCAGCCCGCGUCUGGCGAAUUGACGAGCCGCACGAGCAGCCGUGCGUCGGUAAAUAGAGCGGGGCUGAAGGAAGCUGGUACUAAAGGAGGGGAAAUUGCGAUCUCUGAGGGAACGCCACGGAAAACGCCAGUUGUUUGGUUGUUUUUCAGUAAUUUCUACUGAGACUUUCACGUCCAUUUCGCUCAGAAUCCUGAAGGUGGAUUCAUAGCUUAAUUACACCUCAAUUUGCACUGCCUCUCCCCCAAGUAUCGCAUAUGUAUUGCUGGAACUUCCACAGCCCCAUGUCAUAGAAUGGCCUGGGUUGAAAAGGACCACAAUGAUCAUGUAGUUCCAACCCCCCUGCUAUGUGCAGAGUCGCCAACCACCAGACCAGGCUGCCCAGAGCCACAUCCAGCCUGGCCUUGAAUGCCU
rnacentral:lncRNA from 1 species